rnacentral:rRNA from 1 species
GGACUACUGGGGUUUCUAAUCCUGUUUGCUACCCACGCUUUCGUAGUUGAGUGUCAGUACUUGUCCAGGUCGCCGCCUUCGCCUCUGGUGUUCCUCCCGAUCUCUACGCAUUUCACCGCUACACCGGGAAUUCCACGACCCUCUCCAAGACUCCAGUCUGACCGUUUCAGGGGCACUUCUUGGGUUAAGCCCAAGGCUUUCACCCCUGACAAAUCAGACCACCUACCUACCCUUUACGCCCAAUAAUUCCGAGCAACGCUUGCACCCCUCGUAUUACCGCGGCUGCUGGCAC